rnacentral:rRNA from 1 species
CCAAGGGCAUGCCUAGUACGGCGAGUGAGCGGCAACAGCUCAAAUUUGAAAGCUGGCCUUCGGGUCCGCAUUGUAAUUUGUAGAGGAUGCUUUGGGUGAAACGCCAGUCUAAGUUCCUUGGAACAGGACGUCAUAGAGGGUGAGAAUCCCGUAUGUGACUGGAAAUGUUAACCUAUGUAAAGCUCCUUCGACGAGUCGAGUUGUUUGGGAAUGCAGCUCUAAAUGGGAGGUAAAUUUCUUCUAAAGCUAAAUAUUGGCGAGAGACCGAUAGCGCACAAGUAGAGUGAUCGAAAGAUGAAAAGCACUUUGGAAAGAGAGUUAAAAAGCACGUGAAAUUGUUGAAAGGGAAGCGCUUGCAAUCAGACUUGUUUAAACUGUUCGGCCGGUCUUCUGACCGGUUUACUCAGUUUGGACAGGCCAGCAUCAGUUUCGGCGGCCGGAUAAAGGCUCUGGGAAUGUGGCCUUCACUUCGGUGAAGGUGUUAUAGCCCAGGGUGUAAUACGGCCAGCCGGGACUGAGGUCCGCGCUUCGGCUAGGAUGCUGGCGUAAUGGUUGUAAGCGACCCGUCUUGAACCACGGACC